AACGAACGCUGGCGGCAUGCCUAACACAUGCAAGUCGAACGAGACCUUCGGGUCUAGUGGCGCACGGGUGCGUAACACGUGGGAAUUUGCCUCGGGGUAUGGAAUAACUCAGGGAAACUUGAGCUAAUACCAUAUAAUGUCUUCGGACCAAAGAUUUAUCGCCCUGAGAUAAGCCCGCGUAGGAUUAGCUAGUUGGUGGGGUAAAGGCUCACCAAGGCGACGAUCCUUAGCUGGUCUGAGAGGAUGAUCAGCCACACUGGGACUGAGACACGGCCCAGACUCCUACGGGAGGCAGCAGUGGGGAAUUUUGGACAAUGGGCGCAAGCCUGAUCCAGCAAUGCCGCGUGCAGGAUGAAGGCCUCGGUUGUAACUGACUUUGUUACGGUAACGAAACGGUA
rnacentral:rRNA from 1 species